rnacentral:rRNA from 1 species
CCUACGGGAGGCAGCAGUGGGGAAUAUUGCACAAUGGGGGAAACCCUGAUGCAGCGACGCCGCGUGAGUGAAGAAGUAUUUCGGUAUGUAAAGCUCUAUCAGCAGGGAAGAAAAUGACGGUACCUGAUUAAGAAGCCCCGGCUAACUACGUGCCAGCAGCCGCGGUAAUACGUAGGGGGCAAGCGUUAUCCGGAUUUACUGGGUGUAAGGGGAGCGUAGACGGCAGCACAAGUCUGGAGUGAAAUGCCGGGGCUUAACCCCGGAACUGCUUUGGAAACGGUGCAGCUAGAGUGCAGGAGAGGUAAGUGGAAUUCCUAGUGUAGCGGUGAAAUGCGUAGAUAUUAGGAGGAACACCAGUGGCGAAGGCGGCUUACUGGACUGUAACUGACGUUGAGGCUCGAAAGCGUGGGGAGCAAACAGGAUUAGAUACCCCUGUAGUC